rnacentral:rRNA from 1 species
AGAGUUUGAUCCUGGCUCAGAGCGAACGCUGGCGGCGUGCUUAACACAUGCAAGUCGUACGGCUGUAGCAAUACAGCCGUGGCGAACGGGUGCGUAACACGUGGAUAACCUUCCUUCAGGUGGGGAAUAACCCAGUGAAAAUUGGGCUAAUACCGCAUAACAUUUCGGGGGCACAUGCUCCUGUCUUCAAAGCCGCAAGG